AGAGUUUGAUCCUGGCUCAGGACGAACGCUGGCGGCGUGCUUAACACAUGCAAGUCGAACGGAGCACCCUUGACUGAGGUUUCGGCCAAAUGAUAGGAAUGCUUAGUGGCGGACUGGUGAGUAACGCGUGAGGAACCUGCCUUCCAGAGGGGGACAACAGUUGGAAACGACUGCUAAUACCGCAUGACGCAUGACCGGGGCAUCCCGGGCAUGUCAAAGAUUUUAUCGCUGGAAGAUGGCCUCGCGUCUGAUUAGCUAGAUGGUGGGGUAACGGCCCACCAUGGCGACGAUCAGUAGCCGGACUGAGAGGUUGACCGGCCACAUUGGGACUGAGAUACGGCCCAGACUCCUACGGGAGGCAGCAGUGGGGAAUAUUGGGCAAUGGGCGCAAGCCUGACCCAGCAACGCCGCGUGAAGGAAGAAGGCUUUCGGGUUGUAAACUUCUUUUAUCAGGGACGAAGGAUGUGACGGUACCUGAUGAAUAAGCCACGGCUAACUACGUGCCAGCAGCCGCGGUAAUACGUAGGUGGCAAGCGUUGUCCGGAUUUACUGGGUGUAAAGGGCGUGUAGGCGGAGAAGCAAGUCAGAAGUGAAAUCCAUGGGCUUAACCCAUGAACUGCUUUUGAAACUGUUUCCCUUGAGUAUCGGAGAGGCAGGCGGAAUUCCUAGUGUAGCGGUGAAAUGCGUAGAUAUUAGGAGGAACACCAGUGGCGAAGGCGGAUUGCUGGACGACAACUGACGGUGAGGCGCGAAAGCGUGGGGAGCAAACAGGAUUAGAUACCCUGGUAGUCCACGCUGUAAACGAUGGAUACUAGGUGUGCGGGGACUGACCCCCUGCGUGCCGCAGUUAACACAAUAAGUAUCCCACCUGGGGAGUACGAUCGCAAGGUUGAAACUCAAAGGAAUUGACGGGGGCCCGCACAAGCGGUGGAUUAUGUGGUUUAAUUCGAAGCAACGCGAAGAACCUUACCAGGGCUUGACAUCCUACUAACGAAGCAGAGAUGCAUUAGGUGCCCUUCGGGGAAAGUAGAGACAGGUGGUGCAUGGUUGUCGUCAGCUCGUGUCGUGAGAUGUUGGGUUAAGU
rnacentral:rRNA from 1 species